GGACCCGGAUCGGAUGCAGUCAUAGCUACGACUGCAACUUAAGCGGUCCGCCGUCGGCUGCACGGCCUGCACCGAGGACUGCGCCGCGCUGUGGGAGGACGAGAAGGAGGACGUCGCGAACAUGGCGGGCAAGAUGAAAAAGGCCAAACACCACCGGCGAAGGGUGAAGGCCGCAGUGGCCAUGAUGUGGAGCUGCUCGAGAUUUAUAGCUAAAAUGAACGCCAAGAGUAGUCUCGCUGGGUACGACUCCAGGAGCACCCACAUCAUAUAUCUUCUGAGCAAACGAAGAGGAUGAGAAUGGCUUGGUGAUCCGAUGGAUUUGAACAGCCAAUCAAAUGAACCGCAGCUGCCUAGCAAUAUCUGCUACUGAAAGUAGGCCCUGGAGUGCAAGCUGCUGCUGUGUAGCUGCAGCUCUGCAGAAAAAUCACUGCCUAUUCCAGUGAUGUUUCUUGGUUUCUUCUUCUUUUUCUGAUUUAAGUCGAUAGAGAAACAAGUUAGAAUUGGUUGAUUUUCAAUUUCAUUCAUAAAGUUGUAGUACAUAAGUAGAGAGUUUUGGCCAAACUCAUACACCCGCUCUCUUAGCUGUGGAGUAUGGUCAAGGUAGUGCAAACUUGGACUCUUAGAAUGAUUUCGUUUUGUUUGUAUGGAACGAGGGAGGCAAAUCGUUGCGGGCUGUAUGCAGUGGACGGAGGUGGAAGAAGAGUCUGGAGAGGGACUGUCAAUCUGGAGCAUUGGUUGGUUGCUGGAUGGUAGAUGUUGGUGGUACUGCUUAAGUUGCAGUCACAGUUAUAACUGCACCCGAUCCUGGUCC